GAUCGCAUUGUCAUCAACUGCUCAUCAAAUAUUUGUCCUCUCUAGUAUUUUAUUUUAGAAUUAAUUAAGUUUCUGUACUGCCUAAAAUUAAUGUCCACAGGAUCUCUCUCUCUCUCUCUCUCUCUCUCUCUCUCUCUCUCUCUCUCUCUCUCUCUCUCAUACACACGCACAGCUGCAAAGUAGACACGUGUUGCCAAGUCGCAUUAUUUACCACACACCUCGGUACCCCCACACAAACUCCCUUGCAAUACAGCUAAAGGAGGGAUAGAGCACACUAGCAUAAGGUCAUUCCUCCUAUCUUUGCCCCUGAACUAAUCUCAGAACAAUGGGAUCAAGUGAAAAAGGAGGAUCAGAGAGUAUUUGUAUUUUGAGCUCUUAGUUGGUCCCCGCGCUCGUCACCAUGCCAGCUCUCAUCAUAAUCCUAACCUCUUAACUUCGCUAUUGUGGUGAGCUAAGAGACAUUCCUGGGGUACAAAGGAUACAGAGGAGACUGGAGACUGUUCACGCAGACUCACUAGUCCUUAAGUCUUGCGUAAUGCCCUGGGGAAGAAUGAUGCUGAAAGGACAACAAGAUGAGGAAGGGUGAAGAAAAAAAUUAGUCUCUUGGCAUCACGGGAACAGCUGAUGGGCGGUAGCAAGUUAGUCACAAAGUUGUAUUAUCCUGCAGUGUCUGUCUGGAUGCGGUGGUGUGGGGUGAUGUGUGACGUUGGGUGAUGCUUACGAAUCAAAAAGAGAGAAAAGCGAGGCAAGACUAGACCAGAACAGACUAGACCAAACCGGACACGUGAAAGAAAAUACAAAACCCCACAUGAAGUGACACAACAACACACACACACAUAAAAAAAAUAAAGGAUGAUAACGACAACAAUAAAAUGACCCUGAUUCCAUUAUUCUAGUGUCACGUAGCUAAGUAUUGUGACGCUAUUAUUUUGUUGAGAAGGAAGCAACAAAAGGAGAUUCUUCAGUUCACUCAAAUAUUUGGUGUCUGGUGAUCUCUCUCUCUCUCUCUCUCUCUCUCUCUCUCUCUCUCUCUCUCUCUCUCUCUCUCU